rnacentral:rRNA from 1 species
UACGAAGGGGGCUAGCGUUGCUCGGAAUUACUGGGCGUAAAGCGUGCGCAGGCGGUUGUGCAAGACAGAGGUGAAAAUCCCCGGGCUUAACCUGGGAAUGGCCUUUGUGACUGCACGGCUAGAGUGUGUCAGAGGGGGGUAGAAUUCCACGUGUAGCAGUGAAAUGCGUAGAGAUGUGGAGGAAUACCGAUGGCGAAGGCAGCCCCCUGGGAUAACACUGACGCCUCAUGCACGAAAGCGUGGGGAGCAAACAGG